rnacentral:rRNA from 1 species
AUACGUAGGUGGCGAGCGUUGUCCGGAAUUACUGGGUGUAAAGGGUGUGCAGGCGGGGCGGUAAGUCAGGGGUGAAAGUCUACGGCUCAACCGUAGGAUGGCCUUUGAUACUGUCGUCCUUGAGUCCCGGAGAGGCCAUUAGAAUUCGUGGUGUAGCGGUGAAAUGCGUAGAUAUCACGAGGAAUACCGGAAGCGUAGGCGGAUGGCUGGACGGCGACUGACGCUCAGGCACGAAAGCGUGGGGAGCGAACAGGAUUAGAUACCCUGGUAGUCCACGCUGUAAACGAUGGAUGCUCGGUGUUCGACUCCGUUAGCGGGUUGAGUGCCCAAGUUAACGCGAUAAGCAUCCCACCUGGGGAGUACGCUCGCAAGAGUGAA